rnacentral:lncRNA from 7 species
UUCUGUUCCCUAGCCUGUGGUGGAAGAAGCUAUUCUGGAUGAAGAACCUGUAAAAGAGCCUUGAAGAUGCAAGUACAAUGUGGUUGCUUUUCGUCUUUAAAGAAAGAAAAUAGAGUUGGCCAACUGGAAUCUAGGGAAAAUUAUUUUAGCUGCUGUUCUUCUGCUGCCUUUCUCAGAAAGAACACAACUUCUCCAGGCCACUGAGCCUUUCCUAAGGGGGAGAUUUGGUAAUGGCCUCAGAAAGAGUAACUACCAUCACAACGCUGCUUCUGUGUUACGAAUUGUGCCUGACUGAUUAGCUUUCCAUGUUAUUAAACUCUGAUUCCUGUACAUUCACUGGGGUCGCUCUUCAUCAAGAGCAUGACUAAUCAUUUCAUGCAAGUUUUAUUUAUUAUUUGCAUUAUUAUGGCAUUGUAUUUCUAAAAAGGAAUUGUAGGAAAGCACUGUCUUUGCCUCAGAGCUCAAAUGCCAAGUAGAAGCAAUGGAAGGUGAUAGGGAGCUGCAAAGCAGCUCAGAACAAAAUAAGUGUUGACUCUUCUGAUCAGCCAAGGGCAAAACUUGACUACAUAACUGGUUGCUGCUGACCAGAGGUGUCAGCAGAUGGUGAUGCUGCUGGUCUGAGACAGUAAGCAAAGGACGUGUCAAAGAUUGCUCUGUAUUUCAUUAUUUCAAAAAGGAGGCUGAAAAUCUUAGGAUUGAAGAGAGGUUGCAAAGAUGUUUGUCUAAAUUGCCUCCUUUGAACACAUGAAGCUUCCCAGCUCCUGGUAAAUUUCAUGUUUUACCUUUGAGAUAUUUAGGUUUUGGUGAGGGGUAAGGUGGUGGUUGUUACUUCUUGCGAUGCUGAAGGGAGUAUCUUAAACUCCUCAUGAUAGAAAGGUGGAUGGAGUCUUGGUUUCUAAGCUCUUUCAAAUAGGUGCAACUUCAUAAUGUAAGCUUCUCUUCCUUUCAAUUGUCAAAGACAGCAAAAAAUUAUUCUCCAAAAAGACUAGGGCUGAAUUCAAGUGUAGGUAACAGUCCUCAUCAUGACAUCUUCUGAGAAUAUUGCUGAAAAUUAAGAUCAUGGUUAGUGGGCUCUUGGGUUUCAGGGGGAUGUUUUUGCUUCAUUCCUUAAAUGAAUUUAAGCAUACUUCAUUUUCAUUAAGGAUGCACCCUAGGAUUUUUAAGUUUUAACACAGACAAAAAAGUUACAGUAAAGAUUAAUUAGAAAUCUCAGCCCUCCGUCCUCUUAUUUUCUCGUGUUUUCUGCUCCAAGUACAACUUGCUAUUUGGUAUCUGUAAUUGUUUAGCUCCCAUGUAUCUGCUCCUGCUGCAGAAAGACAGUUGUGGUGCCUGCGUUUCUAAUGGGAGUGAUGCUGUUAUGUCUGACAAACUUGUUGUAAUUAUGUAUUAGAAAACAGUGUGGCCACUAGUAAAUCCUCGACAGUGAAAUGUCUGUCAAAUGUCAAAGUUCCCUCACCAUUCAAUUAACUUUCCUUGGUGUUCUACAGAGAAUAUCGUUAAGGAAAAUGACUGGGUUACUUUGCCCUUUCUCUGCUGCUGUCAUGUCACUUCAGACAUUAUCUGGCUGAGACUGUAAGCCUGAUAAUUCUGGUGAAGUGUACAUCUUGCUGCAGGGGUUUUGAAGGGAACUGUCUGCUGUUGAGGUGAAUUUUCUUACCAACGGCUUUUUGUGCCUAAUUCCAAAGUCAGUUUUUGCAUGAAACAUUAAAGCACGACUUAGGGGGUGAAUUGAAAUCAGGAUAUGCAAUGAAUAACACUUGCUCAGAGGACGCUCUUGUCAGAAACUUGCUCUGGGCUAUGUUGGCCUCCUGCUGUUUCUCUAAUCAAGGGCGUAGUACAGACAAAUGAGACAGUGGCAAAUACAUUAUGGAAACUUCACUACUUAUUUUUCAGUUGGCUGAUCUUGUGCUGAUGGAUUUUUUUUUUAAUGUCUUGGAGAACAUAACUGAUUAAUACGUUUGUUACCUACAGAACAUGUUUCUGAGGCACAUCUCAGUCCCCCAAGCAAUGUGUCAGCACUCAGGAGUGGGCCACAGACCCCACUGACCCUGCCACAAAGGCAAACACAUUAGCUGAUGGGGAUUUCCAUGAGGGAGAAGUUGUAAUUCAAGUCCUUUCUUAGACUUGUGGGAUCCUAUUUUUUCCGUAAAGUGAUUCUUUUUGACAAGCUUGUCUUUUUUUAAUCCCUAUUAAAGAUAAUAAUAAAAAGCUUGCCCAUGAGUUAUUAGAAGCCCAAAUGUGUCCUUAAAUAAGGGUGCUGUGCUUUGUGGUUUGGUCUAGGUCCAAGUUGAGCAUUUAUAUUCUGUAUAAAUUCUUCCCUGAAGUUGCAGCUGGCAGCAGCACCCAUUGUUGCAUCCUUCUAAAAAGAGUCCGUGCAGUAUCACAGUGCUUUUGAAACUUGCAUUUGGAAGUUAGAUUUUUAGCAUUCCUUUGCUUUGAGUUGUUUCACUCUUCCAAAGGGGUUUGCAACUCUAAUUGAAGACCUGGGGGAGGGGUUUUGGGGAAGUUGAGGAGAGAUGCAGCACAAAUUGUGGCAGUCAACCAGAAACAGAACUGGGUGAAUUUUCUAGAUUUUUCUCUGUAAAAACUGCAUGGUGAAAGUGAGGAUGGUAAGACCUAGACUUACUGUCUACUCCUGGACUGCAGCUUCUAAAGAUCAUAUAACUUUCUGCUGAUAUGCUGCACUUGUGUGAUCAGUAAAAUCAGAGAGAGCAAUUGGAAGAAUCUGGCUGCUUCUUUCUGUCAGGUAUUUAUAUACCUUGGUAAGAUCCUCUAUCCUCCAAGCAUUGUUGUCUUCAGAUAAAGCUAACUCAACUUUAAGUUAAUUAGAGGUGUUUUGAUGUGCAUUAUAUUGACUGUUCAACUGAUUAUGAAGACUAAGCAUGACUUUUUUUUUUUAGUACAGACCAUGGUAUUUUUUCACAGAGCAAAUAAAUAAAAUUACAAACCUCCUGCUGAAG